rnacentral:rRNA from 1 species
CUUUUCUUGUUAGUUUUUGAAGUAUGGCCUGCCCGCUGACAUUUGGUGUUGAAGGGCCGCGGUAUUUUGACCGUGCAAAGGUAGCAUAAUCAUUAGUUCUUUAAUUGUGAUCUGGAAUGAAUGGCUUGACGAGGCACGGGCUGUCUUAGUGUUGAAUGUUUUAUUGAAUUUGGUCUUUGAGUUAAAAUUCUUAGAUGUUUUUGUGGGACGAGAAGACCCUAUAGAGUUUGACAUUUGGUUUAUUUACUUGUUUGUUGUUUGUUUAUUUUUGGUGAGUGGGCUUUUUGUUUUGUUGGGGUGAUGGGAGGAAUGUACUUAACUCCUCUUAGUUUUGGUUAUAUUGAUUUAUAAUUGUUUGAUCCAUUUAUUUUGAUUGUAAGACUAAAUUACC